CAGGGACAACUGCCUAAAGUUGUUCCAGGUCCAACAACUCUGUUAACCAAUCGCUGCUAUGUGAUGUCAUCAAUGUGCGACUUCACCCCCUGUUCAAAAUUUCCCUCCCGAAAUCAACAUCUUUCCAGCUCUGUGUAGGGACGCAAAAAAAGAAUGUGCCUGCUAUCGUAAAAGCUUUACCCAAAAAGAAAAAAACAAGGACAACAAUAUUCAGCGCCCUGUCAGAGCAGGAAGCAAAGGAGCUGGCCAAUGGUUUUGCCACUAGACUGGCAUUGGAUGUUACUGCUGACACAGUCUGUGACGUAGUGGAUGCUGCAUCUGCUGAUGAAGACACUUCAGAAAUUACAAAG